UACGUAGGGUGCGAGCGUUGUCCGGAAUUACUGGGCGUAAAGAGCUCGUAGGUGGUUUGUCGCGUUGUUCGUGAAAACCGGGGGCUUAACCCUCGGCGUGCGGGCGAUACGGGCAGACUUGAGUACUGCAGGGGAGACUGGAAUUCCUGGUGUAGCGGUGGAAUGCGCAGAUAUCAGGAGGAACACCGGUGGCGAAGGCGGGUCUCUGGGCCGAUACUGACGCUCAUGCACGAAAGCGUGGGGAGCAAACAGG
rnacentral:rRNA from 1 species